GACGAACGCUGGCGGCGUGCCUAAUACAUGCAAGUCGAGCGGACCGAACGGAAGCUUGCUUCUGUUCGGUUAGCGGCGGACGGGUGAGUAACACGUGGGUAACCUGCCCGUAAGACCGGGAUAACUCCGGGAAACCGGGGCUAAUACCGGAUAACACCGAAGACCGCAUGGUCUUUGGUUGAAAGGUGGCUUUUGCUCCCACUGACGGAUGGGCCCGCGGCGCAUUAGCGAGUUGGUGAGGUAACGGCUCACCAAGGCGACGAUGCGUAGCCGGCCUGAGAGGGUGACCGGCCACACUGGGACUGAGACACGGCCCAGACUCCUACGGGAGGCAGCAGUAGGGAAUCUUCCGCAAUGGACGAAAGUCUGACGGAGCGACGCCGCGUGAGCGAAGAAGGUCUUCGGAUCGUAAAGCUCUGUUGUUAGGGAAGAAGAAGUACCGUUCGAAUAGGGCGGUACGGUGACGGUACCUAACGAGAAAGCCCCGGCUAACUACGUGCCAGCCGCCGCAGUAACAC
rnacentral:rRNA from 1 species